CAGGCAAUUUGAUUGCUAGAAAAUUUUGAAAUGAUUUACCUUGAUGGAUUCUACCGCGAGAGGAGUCUUCUUAAUUUCGGAUGGAGGGAUUGUCUCCAGAAGCUCCUUCAUAUACGCGGAUGCCUUCCACCGCGGCUAAUUGAACCCCCAUCGGGCAGAUGAGGGCGACGUUGUAUGACUCCACUGUUUGCUCUUGGGUCCUUGGCAUACCCACGACGCUCGUCGCCAGGAUGAGAAGAAGGAGUAAAAUUUGUUCAUACUCUCUUUGGCUUCUAGGAGUCUCAAGUGAUAGGAUAAUGCGCAAUCAUCUGAACUACUUAGUUAACUAAUGCAUGGAGCAAGCGUUGA
rnacentral:sRNA from 2 species